rnacentral:rRNA from 1 species
UACGUAGGGGGCAAGCGUUGUCCGGAAUCAUUGGGCGUAAAGAGCGUGUAGGCGGCCCUGUAAGUCCGUUGUGAAAGUCGAGGGCUCAACCCUCGAAUGCCGGCGGAUACUGUCGGGCUCGAGUACGGAAGAGGCGAGUGGAAUUCCUGGUGUAGCGGUGAAAUGCGCAGAUAUCAGGAGGAACACCAACUGCGAAGGCAGCUCGCUGGGACGUUACUGACGCUGAGACGCGAAAGCGUGGGGAGCAAACAGG